rfam:Gossypium raimondii Chr08_contig_1322, whole genome shotgun sequence.
UAUUAAAAAUUUUAUCUAUUUGUAUUGUUAAAAACUAGGAUGGCAAACCAAACAAUGACACAUGGUGUGCCACGUGUACCUUAUGCUAAUAUAUACAAAUAAGUUUUUAACGGUAAAUAUGGAUGUUUUUUAACA